GACGAACGCUGGCGGCGCGCUUAACACAUGCAAGUCGAACGGAAAGGCCUGCUUUCCCUUGUGGAUUGCGGGUACUCGAGUGGCGAACGGGUGAGUAACACGUGAGUGAUCUGCCCCCAACUUGGGUAUAAGCCUGGGAAACUGGGUCUAAUUCCCGAUAGGACUGCAGGGUGGUGCCUGUGGUGGAAAACGAUUUUCUAGUGGUUGGGGAUGAGCUCGCGGCCUAUCAGCUUGUUGGUGGGGUAAUGGCCUACCAAGGCGGCGACGGGUAGCCGGCCUGGGAGGGUGGACGGGCACAUUGGGACUGGGAUACGGCCCAGACUCCUACGGGAGGCAGCAGUGGGGAGUAUUGGACGAUGGGCGGAAGCCUGAUGCAGCGACGCCGCGUGGGGGAUGACGGCCUUCGGGUUGUAAACUCCUUUCGACCGCGAGGAAGCCACCUGGUUGGAAGGGUGGUGACGGUAGUGGUAGAAGAAGCACCGGCUAACUACGUG
rnacentral:rRNA from 1 species